UGGCAGCAGUGGGGAAUAUUGCACAAUGGGGGAAACCCUGAUGCAGCCAUGCCGCGUGUGUGAAGAAGGCCUUCGGGUUGUAAAGCACUUUCAGUAGGGAGGAAGGUAGUGUAGUUAACACCUGCAUUAUUUGACGUUACCUACAGAAGAAGCACCGGCUAACUCCGUGCCAGCAGCCGCGGUAAUACGGAGGGUGCGAGCGUUAAUCGGAAUUACUGGGCGUAAAGCGCAUGCAGGCGGCCUAUUAAGUCAGAUGUGAAAGCCCGGGGCUUAACCUCGGAAUUGCAUUUGAAACUGGCAGGCUAGAGUCUUGUAGAGGGGGGUAGAAUUUCAGGUGUAGCGGUGAAAUGCGUAGAGAUCUGAAGGAAUACCAGUGGCGAAGGCGGCCCCCUGGACAAAGACUGACGCUCAGAUGCGAAAGCGUGGGGAGCAAACAGGAUUAGAUACCCUGGUAGUCCACGCCGUAAACGAUGAGUGCUAAGUGUUAGAGGGUUUCCGCCCUUUAGUGCUGAAGUUAACGCAUUAAGCACUCCGCCUGGGGAGUACGGCCGCAAGGCUGAAACUCAAAGGAAUUGACGGA
rnacentral:rRNA from 1 species